AAAAAUUCUCUAGAGCAUCUGUGUUUAAUCUUCUGUGUGGAACUAUUGAGGCAAUCGAAAAGCGAAUCAAAUUUGAAAAGCAACUCAGCUGUACCCAUGGCUGAUGGUGGUAGUGCUCCAAUUGAUGAAUAUGUGCAAAUCGAUGCAGCAAGGGUGUGGCUGAAUAUUUGUGCAGCAUAUUUAACUUGAAAAUUAAUCUGAAAAUUAAUGCAGCGACAGCGAUGUAACGAAAAUAACAAUAUAUAUAUAU